UUGAGUAGAAUUCUUGGUUUGAAAUAAAUUAAGGAGUUCUAAAAUCUGUUGAUCUGAGAGGCAUUAUAGGGCUAAUAAGGACUUGAUAAAUAUACUAGUAAUAAGGUGAGCUUAAACAUUUUGAAUUAGUGUAUAAUUUCGAUAAAAUUAAUAUGUCAAUUAUUUCAUUCGAUCAUUCUCUAAUAGGAAAGGAUAAUUAGAUAUGACAUCAUAAAGGAGGAUGAUUCAAACUAGUAUGCACAGGAUUGUCCAAGGUGUCUUUAAGAUAGAAACUUCAAGUACUUCUGGGAUGAAAACUGAGUUUAUGAGAGAUUUUUCGACUCGGUCCCUGUAUUACCCAAGUUAAUAACCUGAAAUGUAUGAGUCGCACAUGAGUAGUCAAAAGAAGUAAUCCCUGCUCAUCAUGUUGAAGACAAGUUUUUAUAUCUAAUCACAAAGUGACAGAAUACUUUAUAGAAUAUUUCGUGGGGGAGACAACUUCUAAUCACCUUCAACGAUCCCCUUUUGGCCUCUUGUCCACGUGGGCAACACGAGAGGGGACAUGAACUAUUUGCCUUAGACCUGUUUUGAAAUCUUAUCCACGCGGGCAAAUGGGUGAAAGAUGAUUUGAAACUUUUCUCUCUACUAAGGACACACAUUGGUUGGGCGAGAAGUUUUAUGACCUCCCCAUCUCUUCGGGACCUCUACGUCUCAAACGAAGGUAACGAUUGGCCUUCUCAACCUCCACACCUUAGAUAAAGACAAGGAUUAGCCCUCUUAACCUCCACACCUCACAUAUCUUGGAAUUACCUUAGAUAAGUUUAUACAUAUAGAUUCGGAUCAUGUCGGAUUGGUAAAUACGAUCAACCAUAUAUAUUUUUUCCUAGUAGCGGUAUUCUAAAGACCACCAUUCCCAUGACAGGACAAAGAGGGAUGAUGUGCAGAGAACCAGCUCCGUCAAAAGAUGAGAGACAGCUCAAAAUAUGGGUCAUGCAACUGUCAUGCCAGCUAAAAGUAUUGCACCAACUUGUGGACAGCCCCUUCUCCUCAAGCAAAGAAAAGAAAACCCUACAGCUUGUGAAUCCAUGGCAGAAGAAGGAAGCCAGCCUGUGCAGUCCAAAACUAUACACAGCCUUCCCUUAUAAAAGGCUCUCCUUCUUCCAGAACCAUAACUGCAUUCCUACCAUCUCCUUCUCUACUUUUCCCUCCUUCCGUUAGUAGCAGCAAUGGAGGCAGUUCUCAAGCUCAGGCUCUUUGCCGUCGCCAUGAUCACAGUCGUGAUGGCCUCUUCCUUAGUGGAGAAGGCCGCCGCGGCCGAGGCUCCCGCCCCCAGCCCCACCUCCGGCACAGCAACCUCGUCGUUCUCGGCCACUGCUGCUGCUGCUGCUGCUUUGUUCACCCUCACCUUCGGCUAUCUUUUCUGCUGAGCGACAUGUUCUUCGAAUCCUCUCUAUUGUAGCUUCAUUCUUCAUUCCUCUGUUGCCAUGGGUGGAUCUUGUGUGUGUAAUGGAUGGAGGGGAAGAGGAUAAUGCAUGUAUGACGAUAGUAAAUGGUGGGUUUGUAUCAUUUCCAUGGUGUUUAUAAUGAUAUGAUUUGUUUUUUAGCAAAUUUCCUAAAAUAAUCAAGUUUUUAUUUUGUUUUUCA